rnacentral:rRNA from 1 species
UACGUAGGGUGCAAGCGUUAUCCGGAAUCACUGGGCGUAAAGCGUGCGUAGGUGGCGCGUUAAGUGAGAUGUUAAAUCGUGUGGCUCAACCAUAUCGAUGCGUCUCAUACUGGCGUGCUAGAGGACAGCAGAGGCAAGUGGAAUUGGUAGUGUAGCAGUGAAAUGCGUAGAUAUUACCAGGAACACCAAUGGCGAAGGCAGCUUGCUGGGCUACUCCUGACACUGAGGUACGAAAGCGUGGGGAGCGAACAGG